rnacentral:rRNA from 1 species
GACGCUGGCGGCGUGCCUAACACAUGCAAGUCAACUUGACUGAAGGAGCAAUCUGACAGUAGAGUGGCGCAAGGGUGCGUAACGCGUAAGUAACUUGCCCAAGGUAAGGAAUAACGUCGAGAAAUCGGCGCUAAUACCUCAUAAUGCAGCGGAUCCGCAUGGAUAUGUUGUUAAAGGUUUACCGCCUUGGGAUAGGCUUGCGUCUGAUUAGCUAGUUGGUGUGGUAACGGCACACCAAGGCUACGAUCAGUAACUGGUCUGAGAGGAUGAUCAGUCACACUGGAACUGAGACACGGUCCAGACUCCUACGGGAGGCAGCAGUGAGGAAUAUUGGGCAAUGCUCGAAAGAGUGACCCAGCAACGCCGCGUGGAGGAUGAAGGUAUUCUAUAUCGUAAACUCCUGUGAGAGCAGACGAAAGACAGAUUAUUAAUCUGGAUGACUGUAUGCUCAGAGGAAGCCCCGGCUAACUACGUG